ACCCGUCUUGAAGCACGGACCAAGGAGUCUAACAUGUGCGCGAGUCAUUGGGCCUAACGAAACCCAAAGGCGUAUUGAACGAAAAGGUCGACCUUGUGUCGGCUUAGGGAGGAUGGGGGCGCGCUCGCGUGCCUCCCGCACUCCCGGGGCGUCUCGUCCUACCUCCGCUUGUCGGUCGAAGGAGAGGCGCACCAAGAGCGCACACGUUGGGACCCGAAAGAUGGUGAACUAUGCCUGGCCAGGACGAAGUCAGGGGAAACCCUGAUGGAGGUCCGUAGCGAUUCUGACGUGCAAAUCGAUCGUCGGAGCUGGGUAUAGGGGCGAAAGACUAAUCGAACCAUCUAGUAGCUGGUUCCCUCCGAAGUUUCCCUCAGGAUAGCUGGUGCUCGAUGAACCGAGUCCCAUCCGGUAAAGCGAAUGAUUAGAGGCCUUGGGGUCGAAACGAUCUCAACCUAUUCUCAAACUUUAAAUGGGUGGGAUCCGCGGCUUGUUUGUGUGACUAAAGCCGCGGAAUCCGGAUCGGAGUGCCCAGUGGGCCACUUUUGGUAAGCAGAACUGGC
rnacentral:rRNA from 1 species